rnacentral:rRNA from 1 species
GACGAACGCUGGCGGCGUGCUUAACACAUGCAAGUCGAACGGAAAGGCCCUGCUUUUGUGGGGUGCUCGAGUGGCGAACGGGUGAGUAACACGUGAGUAACCUGCCCUUGACUUUGGGAUAACUUCAGGAAACUGGGGCUAAUACCGGAUAGGAGCUCCUGCUGCAUGGUGGGGGUUGGAAAGUUUCGGCGGUUGGGGAUGGACUCGCGGCUUAUCAGCUUGUUGGUGGGGUAGUGGCUUACCAAGGCUUUGACGGGUAGCCGGCCUGAGAGGGUGACCGGCGACAAUGGGACUGAGAUACGGCCCAGACUCCUACGGGAGGCAGCAGUGGGGAAUAUUGCACAAUGGGCGGAAGCCUGAUGCAGCAACGCCGCGUGCGGGAUGACGGCCUUCGGGUUGUAAACCGCUUUCGCCUGUGACGAAGCGUGAGUGACGGUAAUGGGUAAAGAAGCACCGGCUAACUACGUG